GGAAAGAUGAAAAGAACUUUGAAAAGAGAGUUAAAUAGUACGUGAAAUUGUUGAAAGGGAAACGAUUGAAGUCAGUCAUGCCAGCGGGAAUCAACUUAGAGGAAACUCUAGGUGCACUUCUUUGCUUGGCAGGUUAGUGUCGAUUUUGGAUGUCAUAAAAUGACUGGGGGAAGGUAGCUCCUUUGGGAGUGUUAUAGCCCUUGGUAGAUGUGACGUCUGGAAUCGAGGAUUGCAACGGAUACCCUUUAGGGCUAGUCACCUGAUCUCUAAUUAGUGCUAGAUUACGGACAGCAUGCUGACCGUGAUUUAAUUAUUGGUUAAAAGGUUAGAGUGCACAUAAAUUCGUUAAGGACACUGACGUAAUGGCUUUAAACGACCGUCUUGAAACACGGACCA
rnacentral:rRNA from 1 species